rnacentral:rRNA from 1 species
UACGUAGGGGGCAAGCGUUGUCCGGAAUCAUUGGGCGUAAAGCGCGUGUAGGCGGCUCGGUAAGUCUGCUGUGAAAUGUCCAGGGCUCAACCCUCGAAUGCCGGUGGAUACUGUCGGGCUAGAGUGCGGAAGAGGCGAGUGGAAUUCCUGGGUGAUAGCGGUGAAAUGACGCAGAUAUCAGGAGGAACACCUAUUGCGAAGGCAGCUCGCUGGGACGUAACUGACGCUGAGACGCGAAAGCGUGGGGAGCAAACAGG